rnacentral:rRNA from 1 species
UACGUAGGGUGCGAGCGUUAAUCGGAAUUACUGGGCGUAAAGCGUGCGCAGGCGGUGAUGUAAGACAGAUGUGAAAUCCCCGGGCUCAACCUGGGACCUGCAUUUGUGACUGCAUCGCUAGAGUACGGCAGAGGGGGGUGGAAUUCCGCGUGUAGCAGUGAAAUGCGUAGAGAUGCGGAGGAACACCGAUGGCGAAGGCAGCCCCCUGGGCCAACACUGACGCUCAGGCACGAAAGCGUGGGGAGCAAACAGG